AUUGAACGCUGGCGGAAUGCUUUACACAUGCAAGUCGAACGGCAGCACGGGGCAACCUGGUGGCGAGUGGCGAACGGGUGAGUAAUACAUCGGAACGUGCCCAAUCGUGGGGGAUAACGUAGCGAAAGUUACGCUAAUUCCGCAUACGAUCUACGGAUGAAAGCGGGGGAUCGCAAGACCUCGCGCGAAUGGAGCGGCCGAUGUCAGAUUAGGUAGUUGGUGGGGUAAAGGCUCACCAAGCCGACGAUCUGUAGCUGGUCUGAGAGGACGACCAGCCACACUGGGACUGAGACACGGCCCAGACUCCUACGGGAGGCAGCAGUGGGGAAUUUUGGACAAUGGGCGCAAGCCUGAUCCAGCCAUUCCGCGUGCAGGAUGAAGGCC
rnacentral:rRNA from 1 species